GACGAACGCUGGCGGCGUGCUUAACACAUGCAAGUCGAACGGAAAGGCCCUGCUUUUGUGGGGUGCUCGAGUGGCGAACGGGUGAGUAACACGUGAGUAACCUGCCCUUGACUUUGGGAUAACUUCAGGAAACUGGGGCUAAUACCGGAUAGGAGCUCCUGCUGCAUGGUGGGGGUUGGAAAGUUUCGGCGGUUGGGGAUGGACUCGCGGCUUAUCAGCUUGUUGGUGGGGUAGUGGCUUACCAAGGCUUUGACGGGUAGCCGGCCUGAGAGGGUGACCGGGCACAAUGGGACCGAGAAACGGCCCAGACUCCUACCGGGGGCAGCAGGGGGGAAUAUUGCACAAUGGGCGGGAGCCUGAAGCAGCAACGCCGCGUGGGGGAUGACGGCCUUCGGGUUGUAAACCGCUUUCGCCUGUGACGAAGCGUGAGUGACGGUAAUGGGUAAAGAAGCACCGGCUAACUACGUG
rnacentral:rRNA from 1 species